CAGCCGCCGCGGGAAUACAGAGGGUGCAAGCGUUAAUCGGAAUUACUGGGCGUAAAGCGCGCGUAGGUGGUUUGUUAAGUUGGAUGUGAAAGCCCCGGGCUCAACCUGGGAACUGCAUCCAAAACUGGCAAGCUAGAGUACGGUAGAGGGUGGUGGAAUUUCCUGUGUAGCGGUGAAAUGCGUAGAUAUAGGAAGGAACACCAGUGGCGAAGGCGACCACCUGGACUGAUACUGACACUGAGGUGCGAAAGCGUGGGGAGCAAACAGGAUUAGAUACCCGUGUAGUCCCUGUCUCUUAUAC
rnacentral:rRNA from 1 species